rnacentral:rRNA from 1 species
AUUGAACGCUGGCGGCAGGCCUAACACAUGCAAGUCGAGCGGAUGAAGGGAGCUUGCUCCUGGAUUCAGCGGCGGACGGGUGAGUAAUGCCUAGGAAUCUGCCUGGUAGUGGGGGAUAACGUCCGGAAACGGGCGCUAAUACCGCAUACGUCCUGAGGGAGAAAGUGGGGGAUCUUCGGACCUCACGCUAUCAGAUGAGCCUAGGUCGGAUUAGCUAGUUGGUGGGGUAAAGGCCUACCAAGGCGACGAUCCGUAACUGGUCUGAGAGGAUGAUCAGUCACACUGGAACUGAGACACGGUCCAGACUCCUACGGGGGGCAGCAGUGGGGAAUAUUGGACAAUGGGCGAAAGCCUGAUCCGGCCAUGCCGCGUGUGUGAAGAAGGUCUUCGGAUUGUAAAGCACUUUAAGUUGGGAGGAAGGGCAGUAAGUUAAUACCUUGCUGUUUUGACGUUACCAACAGAAUAAGCACCGGCUAACUUCGUG